rnacentral:lncRNA from 1 species
GGUGACGGGAUGGAGAUGACCGAGGUCCCAGGGCUUGGCUAUGGGGAACACAGGCAAGGCAGUGAAGAGGAGCCAACGUGAUGUCUCAGAACAGCAGAAGCAUAGGGAGCUCAGGCCUCAGAGAGCCUCAGAGACACCCUAUUUUCUUUGUGAGGGUGAGAGGCCAUCUGGUGAGGACCCUCAUGAGUCGUGCGAAGUUACAGGAUCCAUUGCCCCAGGUGGGUCACACUUGGUAGCCAGCUUCUAGACCAAUGCUUUUUCUUAGGAUUCUGUCACAUCAAAAACGUCAGGUGUACCUUUUUGUUUUUUUGAGACAGAGUCUUGCUCUGUCUCAGGCUGGAGUGCAGUCGUGCGAUCUUGGCUCACUGCACCCUCCGUCACCUGGAUUUAAGCGAUUCUACUGCCUCAGCCUCCUGAGUAGCUAGGAUUACAGGGGCCCAGGUAAUUUUUGUAUUUUUAGUAGAGGCGGGGUUUCGCCAUGGUGGCCAGGCUGGUUUCGAACUCCUGGUCUCAGGUGAUCCACCCGCCACAAAGGAGUACCUUUUAUAACACCCAACCUAGAAGUAUCAGAGAAACUUAAAAACGCGGCUCUCCCCAGACCUCCAGGCCCUUACUUUCCAUCACAGAUGACUGCAGCUGCCGGGUGUUCUGGCCCCUGCUGCCCGCCCUCUGUCCAGAACUCACAACCCCACGGCCCCCAGCCCACCCGACCUCACGCAGUGACAGCGGAAACGUCCACUACCUGGAGAGAUUCCUCUGUUGUUCACCAAACUGCUCUCCGACAUCUGAGAGGUUUUGUUUUUU